CAGUAGCCACGGUAAUACAGAGGGUGCAAGCGUUAAUCGGAAUUACUGGGCGUAAAGCGCGCGUAGGUGGUUUGUUAAGUUGGAUGUGAAAUCCCCGGGCUCAACCUGGGAACUGCAUCCAAAACUGGCAAGCUAGAGUAUGGUAGAGGGUGGUGGAAUUUCCUGUGUAGCGGUGAAAUGCGUAGAUAUAGGAAGGAACACCAGUGGCGAAGGCGACCACCUGGACUGAUACUGACACUGAGGUGCGAAAGCGUGGGGAGCAAACAGGAUUAGAUACCCGUGUAGUCCCUGUCUCUUAUUA
rnacentral:rRNA from 1 species